AGAGUUUGAUCCUGGUCUCAGGAUGAACGCUGGCGGCGUGCCUAAUACAUGCAAGUCGAGCGAAUGGAUUAAGAGCUUGCUCUUAUGAAGUUAGCGGCGGACGGGUGAGUAACACGUGGGUAACCUGCCCAUAAGACUGGGAUAACUCCGGGAAACCGGGGCUAAUACCGGAUAACAUUUUGAACCGCAUGGUUCGAAAUUGAAAGGCGGCUUCGGCUGUCACUUAUGGAUGGACCCGCGUCGCAUUAGCUAGUUGGUGAGGUAACGGCUCACCAAGGCAACGAUGCGUAGCCGACCUGAGAGGGUGAUCGGCCACACUGGGACUGAGACACGGCCCAGACUCCUACGGGAGGCAGCAGUAGGGAAUCUUCCGCAAUGGACGAAAGUCUGACGGAGCAACGCCGCGUGAGUGAUGAAGGCUUUCGGGUCGUAAAACUCUGUUGUUAGGGAAGAACAAGUGCUAGUUGAAUAAGCUGGC
rnacentral:rRNA from 1 species